CCUACGGGUGGCAGCAGUGGGGAAUAUUGCACAAUGGGGGAAACCCUGAUGCAGCGACGCCGCGUGAGUGAAGAAGUAUUUCGGUAUGUAAAGCUCUAUCAGCAGGGAAGAAAUAAAGUCCUUCGGACUUUGGACGGUACCUGACUAAGAAGCCCCGGCUAACUACGUGCCAGCAGCCGCGGUAUACGGAGGAUGCGAGCGUUAUCCGGAUUUAUUGGGUUUAAAGGGUGCGUAGGCGGGUUAUCAAGUCAGCGGUAAAAUCGUGGAGCUCAACUCCAUCCAGCCGUUGAAACUGAUGAUCGUGAGUGGGCGAGAAGUAUGCGGAAUGCGUGGUGUAGCGGUGAAAUGCAUAGAUAUCACGCAGAACUCCGAUUGCGAAGGCAGCAUACCGGCGCCCGACUGACGCUGAAGCACGAAAGCGUGGGUAUCGAACAGGAUUAGAUACCCCUGUAGUC
rnacentral:rRNA from 1 species